UCCCUACUGGAGUAACAGUGACACUCGGUGGCCACUCAGGGUAGUGCACAACCAAUUUCCCUCAUGGAGCAACAGUGACACUGGGUGGUUAAUCCAGGUAUUGCACAAAGCAUUCCCCUCACGGAGCAACAGUGAGACUUGGUGGCCACUCAGGGUAAUGCAGAAAGCAUUCCCCUUAUGGAGCAACAGUGACACUCCGUGGCCAUUCAGGGUAAUGCACCAACCAUUUCCCUCAUGGAGCAACAGUGACACUGGGUGGCCACGCAGGGUAAUGCACCAACAAUUUCCCUCACAGAGCAACAGUGACACCAGCUGGCCAAUCCA